rnacentral:misc_RNA from 1 species
UUUCCGUAGGUGAACCUGCGGAAGGAUCAUUAACAAAAAAAUGAACUAAUAACUAACUGAACUAUGAUAGUGUGUUUAUCACACUAUUACUUGAACUUAAUUAAAUAAAACCAUAAACAAAUUGAAUGGUUGAUAAAAUUUUAAAUUUUCAACGAUGGAUGUCUUGGCUCCC